rnacentral:rRNA from 1 species
AAUAAGUCUGAUGUGAAAGCCCUCGGCUUUAACCGAGGAACUGCAUCGGAAACUGUUUUUCUUGAGUGCAGAAGAGGAGAGUGGAACUCCAUGUGUAGCGGUGGAAUGCGUAGAUAUAUGGAAGAACACCAGUGGCGAAGGCGGCUCUCUGGUCUGCAACUGACGCUGAGGCUCGAAAGCAUGGGUAGCGAACAGGAUUAGAUACCCUGGUAGUCCAUGCCGUAAACGAUGAGUGCUAAGUGUUGGGAGGUUUCCGCCUCUCAGUGCUGCAGCUAACGCAUUAAGCACUCCGCCUGGGGAGUACGACCGCAAGGUUGAAACUCAAAGGAAUUGACGGGGGCCCGCACAAGCGGUGGAGCAUGUGGUUUAAUUCGAAGCAACGCGAAGAACCUUACCAGGUCUUGACAUCUAGUGCCAUUUGUAGAGAUACAAAGUUCCCUUCGGGGACGCUAAGACAGGUGGUGCAUGGCUGUCGUCAGCUCGUGUCGUGA